rnacentral:siRNA from 1 species
CUUGUGAAUACUGAACAAAGACGA